AUCGCUUCUCGGCCUUUUGGCUAAGAUCAAGUGUAGUAUCUUUUCUUAUCAGUUUACUAUCUGAUAUGUCCUCUAUAUGAGAACUACAUAUUAAAUAGAUUUUUAGGACAGGGAGACAGAAGAGGAGCUUGCUCUGUCCAGUCAACACAUUGACCUGGUAUUGAAGUGCCUCACGGAAUGCUGCACCUUCU
ensembl:snRNA U2 U2 spliceosomal RNA